GUCAGUACCGCUGUGUGGCCUCUCAACCAGACUACUGUGAUCCAAACAGCACUGUUAGUCCACCUCUGGAAAUUUACGUGACCAGAAGCGGUGAAGUGACGGACGUCUGUGUGAAAGAUGAAAAACCUGUCUGUGAAAUGACUGGUGUCAUUGUGGACAUCUCACGCAUUAUUCUGUUUGUGGUGGCUACGGGGGCUGUCAUGGCACUCAUCCUGUGUAGGCUUCUGAAAGCUAGAGGGAACUGUAGUCCACCAGAAGUGAAGGAUCCCAGAUGCUUGGAGGAGCUUCAUCAGAACAUGCCACCUGACAAUAGACAUGGGCGCAAAUGGAGACCCCGAUAAUGCUUACGAUGACUCAGUGUGAUACUACCUAUAGUGUAUACUGCUUUGCUUUGGGUUGAUGCUGAAGGGGACCAUAGGGCUGUGGAAAAUUUACAACAGAGAGAGGAGGAAGAUAUAUUUUAUAGAUAUGCAGAGUGUACAGGGUCACAGUGACCAAUACACCCCAGAACAAGGCAGGGUUGGUUGGUUUCUUUUGUUAGGACCAC